GCAGUGAACAGUGGCAAAAAGCAAAGAGCAUGAGGGUUAGCAAUGUGCAAUGGUUAAGCAGCAGAUAAAAAUAAUAUUAGGUAAGAGAGGAUACUGUCAUUUGGACUGGAUGCUGAGAGCAAGUUAGUGUGAAUGUUGAAGCAGAGUUGGAAUACAAUGACAGGCUUCAGAUCAAUCUCUAGUACAAACAUGAGCUUCAAUAAAGAUUUCCGAGCUCUUAAAUGUGAUCAGCCGGUUAUAAACAUCAUGAGAAGUUGGGGCUGGUUAUUAUUGAAUACAACGUACCAGUAACAUGAAGUUGCAUAAAGUACGAGAGACACAGAGACACACUUUAUAUGUUGCUGACGGAAGGAGGAAGCAGGCAAAUGUGAAGAAGUGGGAAUUAGCGAAUACCCAUCAUGUUAUCUGGGAAGCGACGUAGUGACUAUCUCUGUCCUUCGUUUAUUCCAUGCGAAUUAACUACGUGAAUACAAACCUUAGCUGUGCCAAAGCCGAUCUUAGAAACAAAAGGACAGAUUCCCAGUUCUAAGACGGCAGCUGCUAGUUCCCAGUAUAUAAGGACGCCGCGUGUGACGUCACGAACGUCUCCGUCACGUGACCUUCGGCGCGUAUUCGGUGGUCACGCGGGGAUUGGCUGGAGCCGUACGCUACUACAGUGCUGACUACGCACUGCUUUACGCUGACUAGCUUUAGGAUUUUUCUUUGGGGCAGGGUUUUAUUCAGUCUUCCCUUGCGGCUGCGAACCUGUCAUAUACUUGCUGGUCUCUGUAAGGUGUGUGUCCUUGAUAUUAGGGGGUUAUUGGAGGCUGUUUACACAUAAUGCUGUUGUGUGGUAACUCGGAGGGCCCAAGAAUAAGCAGAAGCCACCCACACGUCACGCAGUUCCAUUAGUCUGAUUUAUAGCGGCCAUUGGCCCUGCUGCAUCAGUGCCUAGAUGACAUCGGCAACCAGCACCUCCCACCAAUGCACGCCCAGUCCUUCUCAGUGGCUGCUGCUCUACGGAAAAAAAAGUGAAAAAAAGAGAUGGCCGACGGCUGCCCUGACUUGCUGUAGCUGUAACAGGACAGGAAAUCAGGAGAAAGGGAGGAGCGUGAUAAGAAAUGCUAAGAUAACAAAUAAAGUGGACCCAAAAGGAGACUGGAGGCUAAGCCGAGCAGAGGAGACCACGUUCCUUGUUAAAGGGAAAGGAAAGUCUUUUUAACUUGGGGGUGCCACAAUUUAGGCAUCCCAAGUGAUUUUAUUUACUUAACUGAUAACCCAGGCUGCUGCUCCUGUCAACAGAUAACUGCACCGGCCCAGGGUUCUUCCAGAGAUCCAGAGUGAUUCUCUUUUUCCACUUCUUCAGACAUAUCUGCACAGUGGUGUGAAAUAGCUGGUUUUUUUUUCUGUUGUUAAAGUAUGGCUUUUCACUCUGCUGUGUAUGCACAGCUGCGGGAAUAAAGAAUAAGCAUGAACAGGAUCCCUCUGUGUAGCUCACUGGGCCUCUGCAGUUUUCUAUUGAUAGGAGCAGCAGCCCUGGGUAUAUACAAUCACUUAGAGCUGCCUAACUUUUGGUACCUUCAAGUAAAAAACUUGCUUCUCCUUUAAAGGGAUGGGAUCUCUCACAUCUUUCCCUGUGUGAUGUGAUGAAAGCCCAAGGAGGAAGUUCUGGACUGAAGAGCUACUGCACAUUCCUUUCCUCUCCUGCUUCAUUUGCAUGUCUUCGACCCAACUGGCUGGCAAGAUUUUACAUAAGAGAAUUAAUUUAAUUUAUGUACCAGAAUAUGACUUUGAUUUUAUCAUUAUAAACAAUUGAAAUGUACUAUGCCACAAAAGAGAUCAUAUUCAGUUAAUCUAUCCAUAGAAAUAUAUAUAUAUAUAUAUAUAUAAAUGUCAGCACAAAAGAAACAAAAAAUAAACAUUAAGAAACAUGUUCUGCAUUCUCUAAUGAACCAGUGUGGCAGAAGAUUUAGGGGUAGAUUUAUCAAAAUGUAAGAUCAGAGCUCACCACAA